rnacentral:rRNA from 1 species
ACUGAAUAGAUACCCGGGUAGUCCUGGCCCUAAACGAUGAAUGCUUGGUGUGGCGGGUAUCGAUCCCUGCCGUGCCGAAAGCUAACGCAUUAAGCAUUCCGCCUGGGGAGUACGGUCGCAAGGCUGAAACUCAAAGGAAAUGACGGGGGCCCGCACAAGCGGUGGAGCAUGUGGUUUAAUUCGACGCAACGCGAAGAACCUUACCCAGGCUUGAACUGCAGAUGACACCCUACGAAAGUAGGCUUCCGCAAGGACAUCUGUAGAGGUGCUGCAUGGCUGUCGUCAGCUCGUGUCGUGAGAUGUUGGGUUAAGUCCCGCAACGAGCGCAACCCUUGUCUUCUGUUGCCAUCGGGUUAUGCCGGGCACUCUGAAGAGACUGCCGGUGACAAACCGGAGGAAGGUGGGGAUGACGUCAAGUCAGCAUGGCCUUUAUGUCUGGGGCCACACACGUGCUACAAUGGCAGGUACAAACCGUCGCGAGACCGCAAGGUGGAGCUAAUCGGAUAAAGCCUGUCUCAGUUC